GAUGAACGCUAGCUACAGGCUUAACACAUGCAAGUCGAGGGGAAACGAUGAGAGAGCUUGCUCUCUUAGGCGUCGACCGGCGCACGGGUGAGUAACGCGUAUCCAACCUACCCAUUACAGGGGGAUAACCUUGCGAAAGUAAGACUAAUACCCCAUGGCAUUUUAUGGUGGCAUCAUUAUAGGAUUAAAGAUUUAUUGGUAAUGGAUGGGGAUGCGUCUGAUUAGCUUGUUGGCGGGGUAACGGCCCACCAAGGCAACGAUCAGUAGGGGUUCUGAGAGGAAGGUCCCCCACAGUGGAACUGAGACACGGUCCAAACUCCUACGGGAGGCAGCAGUGAGGAAUAUUGGUCAAUGGGCGAGAGCUUGAACCAGCCAAGUAGCGUGCAGGAUGACGGCCCUAUGGGUUGUAAACUGCUUUUAUAGGGGAAUAAAGUGAGCUACGUGUAGUUUAUUGCAUGUACCCGAUGAAUAAGGACCGGCUAAUUCCGUG
rnacentral:rRNA from 1 species